GACGAACGCUGGCGGCGUGCUUAACACAUGCAAGUCGAACGGAAAGGCCCUGCUUUUGUGGGGUGCUCGAGUGGCGAACGGGCGCGUAACACGUGAGUAACCUGCCCUUGACAGUGGGAUAACUUCAGGAAACUGGGGCUAAUACCGGAUAGGAGCUCCUGCUGCAUGGUGAGGGUUGGAAAGUUUCGGCGGUUGGGGAUGGACUCGCGGCUUAUCAGCUUGUUGGUGGGGUAGUGGCUUACCAAGGCUUUGACGGGUAGCCGGCCUGAGAGGGUGACCGGCCACAUUGGGACUGAGAUACGGCCCAGACUCCUACGGGAGGCAGCAGUGGGGAAUAUUGCACAAUGGGCGGAAGCCUGAUGCAGCAACGCCGCGUGCGGGAUGACGGCCUUCGGGUUGUAAACCGCUUUCGCCUGUGACGACGCGUGAGUGACGGUAAUGGGGAAAGAAGCACCGGCUACCUACGU
rnacentral:rRNA from 1 species